UCCCCAGUAGCUCAGUUGGCAUAGUCCGCCGCAGGCGGAUUAACCAUCGGGUCCGCGGUUCGAGUCCGUGCUGGGGAGCCA
rnacentral:tRNA from 1 species